UGAGGAAUAUUGGUCAAUGGACGCAAGUCUGAACCAGCCAAGUAGCGUGAAGGAUGACUGCCCUAUGGGUUGUAAACUUCUUUUAUAUGGGAAUAAAGCGGGGUAUGUAUACCCCUUUGCAUGUACCAUACGAAUAAGGAUCGGCUAACUCCGUGCCAGCAGCCGCGGUAAUACGGAGGAUCCAAGCGUUAUCCGGAUUUAUUGGGUUUAAAGGGAGCGUAGGCGGAUAUUUAAGUCAGUUGUGAAAGUUUGCGGCUCAACCGUAAAAUUGCAGUUGAUACUGGAUAUCUUGAGUGCAGCAGAGGUAGGCGGAAUUCGUGGUGUAGCGGUGAAAUGCUUAGAUAUCACGAAGAACUCCGAUUGCGAAGGCAGCUUACUGGACUGUAACUGACGCUGAUGCUCGAAAGUGUGGGUAUCAAACA
rnacentral:rRNA from 1 species